UGUUCCAUCUUCGAUUGCUGCAGGUAGGGCUAGGAAAUCCAAGGUAAUUAUGGUUUUGCUGCUUGUUAAUGCAAUUCAUAUUUCUUGGAAUUGUUAGCACAAUGUGUAAUAUGGAUAUAAGAACCCAGAAUGCUUGUUUCAAAAUGAUAACACAUUAUUCCAAUAUGUCACUAUUUCUAAGCAUCUUCUCUCAAUUGUAUGACUGCUUGAUAUACUGACAAAAGGAAGAACUAUUAUUGGCGUACUAUAUCCAAGUUUUCCACUUAUAAUUUACAGUUUUAAAUGAGAAUAUGAAAUUGAAAUCACUAGGAGUAGAGCGAGGAUUUGUGAAUUCUGCAUCAAGAAAAGGUUCUUAAUCAUAGCAUUCUGUAUUUUAAUCAAAAGAUGUGAAAUACAACUUUUUUGGAGCUGAAGCUUCCAUUAGAUUUGCAUCAUGCUAUUCAACAAAUUUUUCUUGUUUUUGGCUUAUAAUUUGGAUGGCUAAUUAAGACCCUUUGGUUGAUCUAUGUAUGAUUGAUGUGCAGAAUUCAUUUUAGAGCAAAAAUUAAUUUCUGCGCCCAUCUGCUAUAUUCACUACUCUCUUUUGCAUGGUCCAGCUGCAACGCACAGAGUUUGCAUUUGUUGAUGUGCAUUCAUGGUGUACUUCUCCCAUCAAAUCUAAUGUUUUAUGAUUUCAUCUUUCGUUGUUAACUUUUUUAUUGAACAGUUCAUAAUUGGCAAUGGGAAUAACAUUUAUGAUUUCAUAUAUGUCAAAAAUGUGGCACAUGCACACAUGUGUGCUGAACGAGCUCUAGCUUUAGUAGGGGAGGUUGCAGAGAGUUGCAGGGCAGGUACAAUCAUCUUCUUCUUUUGUGUUUGUGUUUUACUAAUAAUGAUUAUUUUUUGCUAGAGUUUUGAAAUUAAAGUUUUUUAGUAGGUAAUUCUUUCUCUAGUAAGUUCUUAUAUAUAAUUUAUGCUUUAUAAGCCUUAUUCAAGUAAUUUAAACUAAAUAUCGAAUCAAAAUCUCUACAAUUUGAAUACACCCAUCCUCUCCAAGUGCAAAUUGUGUACUUGUUGAGCACAAGCAUAGGCAUGCACAUGCUAUGAAUUUGGUUCAUCCAUAACUCCACUGAAUGAUAGCUUAAGGAGGUAAAGAUCACAUAUCCUUUUUUAGUUGUGUGGAGAUGCAUCAGUUGAUAUGUUUACAUGGCACAAAAGUUAGCUUGAAUUGUGGAUGGUGUUGUCCCAGAGAAAGUGACCAAGAGGGAGUGAAUUGGACACUUUACCAAUUUUUUGGUUCUUGCUCAAUACACUAUGAAAAAUUGAAGCUUUGCGCUCUAAAGUGUGUGAAAUGAGGACUUAAAGGAAGCAUACAAAUAUUCAAGUAAACUUCCAAGCAUAGAGAUCAACACAUUUAUAGCAUAAACAAAUAAGUUAAUGAGUUGAAAAUAAAAAGCAUAGAGUGAAGAAGAUCAAACACUAUGAUUGAUAGUGGUUCGACUUUCACUAGCCUUCAUCCACUCCUCAAAAAGUCUUUUUGAGAGUUGCUCUCCACUGUAUGUCUCUUUUCAAGGGAGAAAAUAAAGGCCUACUACACUGAACAAGCUUCAUCAAGUUGCUUGUAACUUUUACAAGUGUAUCACUGCACUCAAACUCAAUUCAAGCUUCAAGAGUUCUUGAAAACCUUGCGUAGGUUUUGGAAAAAUCACUGUCAAUCAUUCAAGAAUACAAGGAUAUAUUACUAUUAAGAUGAGAGAGAAGAUUUUCCAAUAUAGGAGCAAGAGAAUUUUUGAAUCUCAUGAGUGAAAGCACUUGAAUGCAUGCAAGAACACUUCAACAAUCAAAUGGCUUUCAUUAGGCCAAAAGGGACUAAAUGAACCCUUAUGUAGGCACUUUUGAAAAAUGGCUAUUGGAAUUCAAAAAGAGGACCAAUGAUUAGAUAUUUUGAAAAAACUAAACUUUGAAAUCUUGGAAAAUGCGCUGGCAAUUUUAGAUUGGAGGUGAAAAAAGUAACUAACAAAAGUUGUUGUUUGGAUAAAAGUAGUUGACUAAAAAUGAAAGGCCUAUUGACAAAAAAAAAAGCGAAAUCUUAUUUUGUUUUGGUAAUUUUAUUAAAUCUUUUUAAUUUUGACAGAAUCAACCAAAAUUUUAAAAUGCACCUAAAUUUAAUCCAAAUUUUUCAAAAAUUUGAAAGCUUGUUAUAAUUUUGUAAUUUUAUCCUUUU
rnacentral:misc_RNA from 1 species